rnacentral:tRNA from 1 species
GCGGGGAUACCCGAGCCAGGUCUAAGGGGCAGGGCUUAGGACCCUGUGGCGAAGGCCUUCGUGGGUUCAAAUCCCACUCCCCGCACCA